GAUGAACGCUGGCGGCGUGCCUAAUACAUGCAAGUCGAGCGAACAGACGAGGAGCUUGCUCCUCUGACGUUAGCGGCGGACGGGUGAGUAACACGUGGAUAACCUACCUAUAAGACUGGGAUAACUUCGGGAAACCGGAGCUAAUACCGGAUAAUAUAUUGAACCGCAUGGUUCAAUAGUGAAAGACGGUUUUGCUGUCACUUAUAGAUGGAUCCGCGCCGCAUUAGCUAGUUGGUAAGGUAACGGCUUACCAAGGCAACGAUGCGUAGCCGACCUGAGAGGGUGAUCGGCCACACUGGAACUGAGACACGGUCCAGACUCCUACGGGAGGCAGCAGUAGGGAAUCUUCCGCAAUGGGCGAAAGCCUGACGGAGCAACGCCGCGGGAGUGAUGAAGGUCUUCGGAUCGUAAAACUCUGUUAUUAGGGAAGAACAAAUGUGUAAGUAACUAGGCACGUCUUGACGGUACCUAAUCAGAAAGCCACGGCUAACUACGUGC
rnacentral:rRNA from 1 species